CAUGAAGUCAUUUCAUUGUGUGGUCACAUGACUGUAAUGACAGAGCAGUCAUGUGACCACACAAUGAAAUAACUUCAUG